rnacentral:rRNA from 1 species
UACGAAGGGGGCUAGCGUUGCUCGGAAUCACUGGGCGUAAAGCGCACGUAGGCGGAUUGCUAAGUCAGGGGUGAAAUCCUGGAGCUCAACUCCAGAACUGUCUUUGAUACUGGCGAUCUCGAGUCCGGGAGAGGUGAGUGGAACUGCGAGUGUAGAGGUGAAAUUCGUAGAUAUUCGCAAGAACACCAGUGGCGAAGGCGGCUCACUGGCCCGGUACUGACGCUGAGGUGCGAAAGCGUGGGGAGCAAACAGG